AAAAACUAAAUGAAUCGACCUACUAAGUGGAGCUGUAACAUUCAAACCCUCCACAAUCCGAGAACUCAAAAACUCUCCUUAGUUGAGAAAGCUUAAAGUGAAAAAUGAAACUAGCAAUCCUAAGAUCUAGUACCACCUGAUAGAUAACUGCAUCAACAAAGAAUGACUGGGAAUCAAACCUAGAAGCAUUAUAGGCUUCCAAACUUGCCACAAAAUGAAGUAAGGCAGGAGGACUUGAAGAUGACUACGAGAAAGGGCACACUGCCGCCAAUGAAGAAGCAAAGCAUGAGGGUCAAAAAAGCAACAUCUCUUUUACUCAAAAUCCUCUGAAAAUGAUCCCAAACCAAGCGAACCUGUGGCCAAUCAAUAAAUAAAUGCCGAAAAGUCUCAGCAGCCCGACCACAAAUACACCGAGAGACCAUACAAAAACCCUUCGGACAUAAGAAAUCAUCAAUAGGCAAAAACCUAUGCAACAAAUGCCAUAGGAAAAAAGACACCCAAGGCAGAAUAUGCUUGCUAGAUAACCGAAAAACCUCAUCCCUCGGCCUAGAACAAUGCACAAGCUCCCAAGUCGAUCGCAAGUGAAAAAUGCCAUCAAGGGAAAGAUCCUAUUGAAUCAAAUUUGGCUCCCCAGUAGAAAUAUGAACCAAUAAAAUUUGCUUAAAAAUGGAAGAGGGCAACACAUCCUAUAGCUUACCUUUAUCCCAAAUUGUACCUCGCCAAUAAAAGGAAAUGACACCAUAGAAGCCGCUGUAGGAUUAUAAAUGACUAAAGGACAAGAGGCCACCUAACAAUCAUACUAAAAACUACACUCCCCACUAAAAAUAUUUGAGAUGCUUGAAUAUGGUGAAAACAGU
rnacentral:lncRNA from 1 species